AAGUGUCCGUGACGCGCGUCACGUGGUUUGAUGAGGAGAUAAAUAGAGGUGCGUCCUCGCCAACAUCCUCUUUCCCUUUCUUGCUGUGUUGGAGUUCAGCCAGCGACGCAACACAGGGAAAGAAGGCAAGUAAACUACUGUCUCAAAGAUCCUGUUGUGGAUUUGUUUCAAGGAUUUUGUGGAGACGUGGACACCAUUCCAGUGUUGGAGAAUGCAGUGUAUAUUUAAUGUGAAGCAUUAGCUGGACUCUGUGAGGUCUCAAACACUUCAGUGCAGUCCUUUAUUAGUUUUACUGACUAAAGAUGUUAUGAAAUAAAGUGUUUUCAGCAGUAA